UCCCACUCAUCCAUCAGCUUUCGCAUCGCUCCCGCUCAACCAAUUUUCUGAGAAGAUCUCGCUUGCCACUGCUCAUGGUAUCGCUAAUACGUAUACUCGUCAAACAACACGUUUACCGCGCGAAAUCUGUCUUUCCGUGUCCGAAACCCCGCCGGUAUUCACCUCUUGCCUGCAGGCACCCUUACAGACGUACUGCCUCAUACUCCCUGAUUUCAAUCAAGCCUGCUCAAAGCUCUAGUAGGAGCGCCGACUUGCCUGAUUGAAAUUGGGAAUCUAACCCUAAGCUACCUUCGUCGGUCCUGAAACCGCCUCGCAGUGAAGCAUGGGAGUUGUUGACUAGCCGAUUCAUUUUGGCAAAAGGCAGCUCUUCCAGAGCCGAAAGGCAGCUGAAAGACGGAUCACCAUGCGUUUUUCAAGUCCACCACUCGGACACGCGUCGGUAUCCUAUGCUGGAUGCUCCAUGCGGAUCAACAGGGAUGGGUUUGUCUAUGCUGGAGAUUAGAAACUGAGGAACAGCCGUGCGGAUUGAUCGAGCAUUCUUGGAUGUAUUUCGCUGGCUGGCAUCAAUGCGGACCCAAAAUAUCUUUGGCAGAAACAUUGCAUGUCGCCAGGCGAAAUGUUUCUGAACACAACAGCUGUCUUGAGGACUAGCCUACACGCGGUCAUACAGUUGGGCUGCUAUAGGGAAGAUCCACUUGCCAGAAUCAAUUGAAUCAACCGAACCCAGACUUCGGCUAAACGCAUUCGAUUGUAGCAAGGUUUUCUCUAUUGCUCCUCACAAGUAUGACUCUUGGGAGUUCAAAACUGUCCCCAAUAACUCUGGCCUGUUGUCACGUUCCGGUAUCGAUCUUUCCGCCGACCCAGCUUCGCCAACCACGUACUCUGUCUCUAAAGCUAGCCACCUCAAAUCACGGCACCAGCCAUCGAUUUGCUUCGUACAUCGAAGGUCCGAUCCACUGCGUUAACCGUCUCUUUGCAAUGUAGAUUGCAAAUUGAUCGCACGGGCUCCGACACCUAUCCUUUGGGAUAGAAACAAAUAAAGCGGUUUUUCUGGAUGUUUUUUGGCCGCCCUCCAGUCUCGGAGAGAAAACGAAAAACUUGUCCCUGGAAGUACUCUGUCACACACGAGUGGUCGAUAUACCGCAGGGUAAAAAUUCGCGACAUGAUUCUACAGGUCCCUCGGCGCAGAAAAACCACGACAAGCAUUCCAGCAAAAUGCCCUCUGAAACGGACAUGCCGAGAUCUUCUCAGAAAAGCUUGUGAAAGGGAUGCAGCUGCGAUAAGCAUGUUCACUAAGCCCCACCGUCCAGACCCUGCGAUACUCUUCCUUCAAACUCAACGACCCUUUCCAUCCAUUCCGUGCCUCUCUACUGAAGGUGCUGGAACCAACGAUGGCGGGACCUCUCUCGUGUGAGGCUCAAAGUUUAGGCUUGUCUGCUGUUUGUUCGGUGAAAGUUCCUGUAGGUUUGACACUCAUGGGUAAACUGAUCGGGUUUUGUGUCUCUGGAGAAAGAAUCGGAGUGUGUUCUGCUGGUGUGGGCUGGUGAAUGGGCCGUUUCCCUUCGGGGGACGGUCCCCCCCUUUUUUU
rnacentral:telomerase_RNA from 1 species